rnacentral:rRNA from 1 species
CCUACGGGAGGCAGCAGUGGGGAAUAUUGCGCAAUGGGCGAAAGCCUGACGCAGCGACGCCGCGUGAGGGAUGAAGGUCUUCGGAUCGUAAACCUCUGUCAGCAGGGAAGAACGGUCACUGUGCUAAUCAACAGCGAACUGACGGUACCUGCAAAGGAAGCACCGGCUAACUCCGUGCCAGCAGCCGCGGUAAUACGGAGGGUGCGAGCGUUAAUCGGAAUUACUGGGCGUAAAGCGGUCGUAGGCGGUAUGUCAAGUCAAGGGUGAAAUCCCCGGGCUCAACGGCGGAACUGACUUUGAAACUAGCAAACUAGAGUGUGUGAGAGGAUAGUGGAAUUCCAGGUGUAGGAGUGAAAUCCGUAGAUAUCUGGAGGAACAUCAGAGGCGAAGGCGACUAUCUGGCACAAAACUGACGCUGAGGGGCGAAAGCGUGGGUAGCAAACAGGAUUAGAUACCCCUGUAGUC